ACGUUGUUAGUAUAAGUUUAAAUUAUACUACUUUUCCAAAGUAGUGAUCUAGGUUGUUAGAUAACGUA
rnacentral:tRNA from 1 species